UAAUACUAGUACUAUUUUAAGAGAUCAAUCAUACUACUUCAAGAGAUCGCGUUAGGAAGAAGAGAUCAUAAAAUACAUUCUUGAUAUGAUUUGCCAGCUCAUGUCGUGUUUGAUCAGGUGUUUUAAUCUUUAGGUUGUUGUACUUAGAAAGAAGUAUCUUCUUUUUUGACAACAAAAGAUAAGAAUCUUUUUUGAAAGAACUUUAGAUCCAUGAACAAGAAUGUUUGGAAGACGAACAAAAGAAAAUUUAAAGAAGAAACUUUCCUCUUUUGUCAGUUUGAUUCUUCGUUGCUCCGAGAAUGCUUACUGUAGAAUGAUUUUAAAAAUCAUCGUUCUGGUCUUGUCCUCUAUUGAAUGGUUCAGUCACUUGAAUGUGUGAUUCUUCAGGAUCGCUUGGUGUUCUCUUGGAGCUACCAGAAGCCCACCUUAAUGUGACUUCGUACAUUGAAGGAGAUGUCAUACCCAGACCCCACAGUAUAGGCUCAGUGAACAGCGCCCUAGGCAGGUGGAGAGGAGACAGCCAACAUCACAUGGGAUAUCAAGCUCUGGAGAAUUAGACAACGCGCAGUGCUUAAUAAUCUAUAAACCCUAGUUCUUACAUGAACAAGCAUGCAUCUGUAAUGGAGUUGCUUUUUGACUUAAACUCUCUCACCAUGUCAGAGAAUUAUCAAUUAUCCACAGUGUCAUCAUCAUUCACCA